GUCCCUUUACACACCCUUUGUAUGUCUUAAGAAUGUCUACUCGAUGUAAUAAAACGCAUCUAAUACAACUUUCAACAACGGAUCUCUUGGCUCUCGCAUCGAUGAAGAACGCAGCGAAAUGCGAUAAGUAAUGUGAAUUGCAGAAUUCAGUGAAUCAUCGAAUCUUUGAACGCACCUUGCGCCCUUUGGUAUUCCGAAGGGCACACCUGUUUGAGUGUCGUGAAAUUCUCAACCCUCUUCACUUUUGUGAACGUAGUGGAUUGGACUUGGAGGCUUUGCCGGGCUUCACCGCUCGGCUCCUCUCAAAUGCAUUAGUGCGUCUUGUUGCGACGUGCGCCUCGGUGUGAUAAUUAUCUACGCUGUGGUGUGCUUGCUUCUGUGGAGACGCGCUUUCUAACCGUCCGAAAGGACAGCUUUCAUCGAACUUUGACCUCAAAUCAGGUGGGACUACCCGCUGAACUUAAGCAUAUCAAUAGGACAUUUGUGAUAUUUAUGACCGGAGGAGCAUCUGGCCUUUAAAAACGGCAUGUGCACKCUCCUUUCACUAAUCCACACACACCUGUGCACCUUCGCGGGGGUCUCCUUGGUAA
rnacentral:rRNA from 1 species